UACGAACCGUCCAAACGUUAUUCGGAAUUAUUGGGCUUAAAGGGUAUGUAGGCGGCGCUGUUAGUCGGGUGUGAAAUCCCUCGGCUCAACCGAGGAAUUGCGCCCGAUACUGCAGUGCUUGAGGGAGACAGAGGUAAGCGGAACUGAUGGUGGAGCGGUGAAAUGCGUUGAUAUCAUCAGGAACACCGGUGGCGAAAGCGGCUUACUGGGUCUCUUCUGACGCUGAGAUACGAAAGCUAGGGGAGCGAAGGGG
rnacentral:rRNA from 1 species